GGGUCAGUGGGUUGGUCGUGCCACCGGUACGUACUGGUCUCACUGAUUCCUCCUUCCUGAAGAACCGUAAUGCCAUUAAUUUGGUGUUGCGGGGAAACAGGACUGUUACUUUGAAAAAAUUAGAGUGUUUAAAGCAGGCUAACGCUUGAAUACAUUAGCAUGGAAUAAUGAAAUAGGACGAUCGAUCCUAUUUUGUUGGUUUCUAGGAUUGACGUA
rnacentral:rRNA from 1 species